AUUCUACUCUGUAUUACAGCCAACCACAUUUCCAGGCUCCCUUGUCCUCUGCUAUCUAGGUGAGUUUUGUCAGUGGAAGACAUUGGUGGAAGGUUGGAUGCUUCUUCUUCUAGCAUCUCUGGUGGUGGCUGUGUUUCCUCCCUGACUCCAGCUCCCACUGGGUGUCAUUCACUUUGUGGUUUUGGUGCUUGCCCAAUGGCCUGGCUUCUGAGCCCUGCUUCUGCAGCCCAGGGAGAGUAGCAGCAGUCUGCUGUUUUUAGUGUCUGGGUUGCCACUCUUUUCCUGUUUGACCUCUCUGGGCUUCCAUGACCCACAUAAGUCAUUAAAUUCCCUCUGUCAAAAAGACUUAGGUUCCUGUUUCAUGACUGGAUGCUGACUGAUAUUGUUAUUACCAUUGUAACUAUUAUCGUUGUUAUUGUUUUUAUUAUUUUAUACUGCCAAUGCCUGUUUAAAUUUACCCAUGUGUUUUCAAAUUACUUUGAUCACCUUGCAUUUUGCAUUCCACUUCUAUACUUUUGGUUAAAGUUUUCUUCUUUUUGCAACAUAUCCCUAGCAUUUAUUUCUAUAAAGGUCUGUGUUUUAGAUAACUUACAGAUUCAAAAUUUUAAAAUAUGGCUUUUUGUCAUUUACUUAAGAUCUGUAUGCAAGAAGAAAUGAAAAAGAUGAACAGGUAGAGUCCAGGACUACCUACCACAGCUCAGGAGUAUGAUGGCCAAUGGAUCCAAAACCUAUCCUAUAUCUACAUGUUGGUGGCCACAUUAAUCUGACAUCUGACAGCAAGAGCGAUGAUUGGGUUCACUGGAAAUCUUUGUGAAGUACGAGUGAAGUCCUUGUGAAGUCAGAGUUUCCUCUUCAUGCCUCUACUCCUAUGCAGUUUGACCUCUCAGUGUGCAGCUGGUGAUAGAUGGAAACCCUUGUUCAUAAGCUUUGUGGCACUGUCGGCAGGAUGAGGGGACUUCUGGAUCCUCACUGGUCACUGUGGCAGAGUGGUUGGUGUUGUCUGCUCCCUAGACAGGAACCCACUGAAGAAUCUGACAUUUUUUGAUAUGCUGGCAUUCAUUGUUACAGCCCAUCAUCCCAGCCAUCAAUCCAGGACAUGGGGUCUGUGCCCACGGUGGGAAGGAGGAGGGGGAAGCUGGCUUUGUUCUGACGUUGGGCUUCUUCUGCUCCACCAGUACUUUCUGUGGGGGAAAUAGGUAAAGAAAUGGCUGUUCAGAUGAGAAGAUGUGUCAGUAAACUUUUGCUACAGUGAUGCUGCAAAACAAAUCACUGGUGACUUUCAGUGGCACACAGCAAUAAACAUUUAUUUAGCUCAGGGAUUGACAAUCUUUUUUUUUUUUUAAAGGGCCAAAUAGUAAAUAUUUUAGGUGUUUCAGGCCAUACAGUCUCUGAACUCUGAACUUGUAGCACAACAGUAGCCUUAGAUGCUAUGCAAAUGGAGGAGCAUGACUGUGUUCCAAUAAAACUUUAUUUAUGGACACUAAAAUUGGAAUUUCAUG
rnacentral:lncRNA from 1 species